GAGCGCGCCCGGGCGGCCAGCGCCGAGCGCGCGGAGCUGGCGUGGGGAGACACGGCAGGAAAGGCGAGCCGGAGUGGGUGAUGAGAGGCCGGGAGAGCCCGUCCGAGCCGGAGAGACCGGAGAGAAGGGAGCGAGCGAGUGUGCGGCGCGCACGCUGCCAGAGCCCGGGCGGAGUGCAGUCGCCUCCAAAGCCUUAGAGCGGCGCCCCAGUCACUGCAGCUCUUCACCCUAGAGCUGUGCCCUGGGACCACAGAGACCAAGAGCAUGGAAAUCGGCUGAGAGGGUUUUGGAAGGCCUGAUGACCCUAUGCAUCCCUGGAUGACUUUCUUGGAUCACUCUCUAAAGUCUCUUCCAACUCUGAAAUUUUUAUAUUUUAUUCUGCUUUUACUAUUUUCACAUGGUUAUCCAGUGGCAGGAUCUACAUAUCCCUUCAAAUUACAUUAAGCUAGCUGUUUAGGGUUUUCUUUAUAGGAUAAUUAAGUAGCUAGAACUAGAAAAUACAGUUAUAAAUCUGAGAUCUCAGUUUUUUAUAAAAUUUUUCACAUACAUUUUAAUGCUAUUGACAACUUU
rnacentral:sRNA from 1 species